rnacentral:rRNA from 1 species
UACGAAGGGGGCUAGCGUUGCUCGGAGUCACUGGGCGUAAAGGGCGCGUAGGCGGAUCUUUAAGUCGGGGGUGAAAGCCUGUGGCUCAACCACAGAAUUGCCUUCGAUACUGGGGAUCUCGAGACCGGAAGAGGUGAGUGGAACUGCGAGUGUAGAGGUGAAAUUCGUAGAUAUUCGCAAGAACACCAGUGGCGAAGGCGGCUCACUGGUCCGGUUCUGACGCUGGGGCGCGAAAGCGUGGGGAGCAAACAGG